rnacentral:rRNA from 1 species
UACGGAGGGGGCCAGCGUUGUUCGGAAUUAUUGGGCGUAAAGGGCGCGUAGGCGGCGGGGUAAGUCGGACGUGAAAUCCCUCGGCUCAACCGAGGAAUUGCAUCCGAAACUGCUCCGCUUGAGGCCGGGAGAGGAGGGUGGAAUUCCCAGUGUAGCGGUGAAAUGCGUAGAUAUUGGGAGGAACACCGGUGGCGAGGGCGGCUCUCUGGACCGGUUCUGACGCUGAGGCGCGAAAGCUAGGGGAGCAAACAGGAUUAGAUACCCGGGUAGU